rnacentral:lncRNA from 1 species
CGCGUAUGUAGUGCCGUCGGUAAGCGGCAACAUAGUCUGCCCGCACGAUGCCGCUCUCGCUACUCCUCGUUACUUAUUGCGAUUCUCCCUUGAAUAUGUAGUAUGGCCAACCACGCUUGCGACGGGGAUUGGGUGAAGUGAAGGAUGGUGCGUGCUGGAUGGGGGCUUGGCUAUACGGCGGCGGGCCACGGCAUGUGCCCAGACCACGCAAGAAAUGGCACAGCAUACGGCUCAGACAUCAGAGGUGUCAGCAAGCUUCGCGAUGAAUUCAAACUUGGGUAAACCUUAUAACGCUUGUCGUGCGCAGCUCCAGGAUGGCGCGAGUAGCAGAUUUGGGCAGGGGGGGCCAGCGAGCGAUGCAGGCUUAGGUGCUGGGGCAACGGGCUGUGCCGCGGUGCAGGGCCUUCCAAGCAGUUUGCCGGAGACGAGCGGCACAUUCAGGCGUGCUCUUACGAUGAGCUGUGCAUCGAAGCUACUCACCUGGAUAGUCCUGGAUGUGCGAUGGGACAGGGUUUAGGCAGGAUGGCGAGGUCCCGUAGGAUGCAGCUGACGCCCAUACCCCAAGCAGACGGCAGACAAUUUGCAGCGGCAGAGCAGCGGCCACUCACCUGGAUGCUGAUGAGCUUGGGGAGCUGUGUGGGGCUUUCGGGCGCCGCUGAGCCCCUUUCGCGGAGUCACGCAGACUUUGUCCGCGGGAGGGUUUGCAGCAAAGUCGGGGUUGGUGGAGUCAAGUUGGACCCUGAUAGCAUGUGCUGGCUCAGCGUCUUCGGGUGCUGGGACUGUCCCCUCUGUAUCAUCCGC